GAUGAACGCUGACAGAAUGCUUAACACAUGCAAGUCUUUGGCGAAGCUGUGCUUGCACAGCCUAGCCAAGGCGGACGGGUGAGUAACGCGUAAGGAACUUGCCCUGCAGUCAGGGAUAACAGACGGAAACGACUGAUAAGACCUGGUAAAGUCAGGCGGACUCAUGUCCAGCCUGAUGAAAAGAGAUGCUGCAGGAGAGCCUUGCGUCCUAUUAGCUUGUUGGUGGGGUAACGGCCCACCAAGGCGAUGAUAGGUAGCCGGCCUGAGAGGGUGGACGGCCACAAGGGGACUGAGAUACGGCCCUUACUCCUACGGGAGGCAGCAGUGGGGAAUAUUGGACAAUGGGGGCAACCCUGAUCCAGCAAUUCUGUGUGCACGAUGAAGGUUUUCGGAUUGUAAAGUGCUUUCAGCAGGGAAGAAAAAAUGACGGUACCUGCAGAAGAAGCGACGGCUAAAUACGUG
rnacentral:rRNA from 1 species